GGGAUCUUCUGGUCGUCGUCAGGCAUCUGGUCGUCGUCGUCUGGCUGUGCUCUUCCGCGCCCUUUUAGUUCUUCUUCCAAGAGCAUGGGUUAGCCGGAUAAUCGUUCUUAUUUCAUAGGAGGAGUUCUUUUAACUUUCACAAGAGCGUAUUCUAGGAACCUUGCUUUCACCUCUGUGUAACGCUUGAGCAGUCGAGUUUCUUCCCUUUGUUCUUCAGGUUCUCUCUUUCUUUGCUAAGUUUCUUGAUGAGGCUGUGGGCAUCUUCAAAGCUAUAAAUUAUGGAAUUAGCCCUCUCUUUCUCUUUAUUAAUUGUUGAUUUAAUUGUCUAAUUGUUUGGAUUAUGACUUCUGAAUUUAUUUUCUGAAUUUUUGAUGUCGAAUGUAAUUGAUAAUUUUCUGUUUUGAACUUUUGGUGCUGCAUGUAUUGUUUGCUUUUUGAUGUGAUUAAAAAUUCUGUAAAUCUAUUUAACUAUCAAUAUUUAGUCAUUGGCUGUAACUGAAUUUAAUUUGUGUAAAUUUGUGUUUGUAACUUGUAGUUAUUACUAA